UGGGGAAUAUUGCACAAUGGGCGCAAGCCUGAUGCAGCCAUGCCGCGUGUGUGAAGAAGGCCUUCGGGUUGUAAAGCACUUUCAGCGAGGAGGAAGGUGGUGAGCUUAAUACGCUCAUCAAUUGACGUUACUCGCAGAAGAAGCACCGGCUAACUCCGUGCCAGCAGCCGCGGUAAUACGGAGGGUGCAAGCGUUAAUCGGAAUUACUGGGCGUAAAGCGCACGCAGGCGGUUUGUUAAGUCAGAUGUGAAAUCCCCGGGCUCGACCUGGGAACUGCAUUUGAAACUGGCAAGCUAGAGUCUCGUAGAGGGGGGUAGAAUUCCAGGUGUAGCGGUGAAAUGCGUAGAGAUCUGGAGGAAUACCGGUGGCGAAGGCGGCCCCCUGGACGAAGACUGACGCUCAGGUGCGAAAGCGUGGGGAGCAAAACAGGAUUAGAUACCCUGGUAGUCCACGCUGUAAACGAUGUCGAUUUGGAGGUUGUGCCCUUGAGGCGUGGCUUCCGGAGCUAACGCGUUAAAUCGACCGCCUGGGGAGUACGGCCGCAAGGUUAAAACUUAAAGGGAAUUGAC
rnacentral:rRNA from 1 species